GCUUCCGGCAUAGGGCCGGAUAGCUGCGCUUGGACCUGUACGCGCUUCACCCUUCCCGGCUGUGAGUGUGGAGGACCGACCUGAAACGCAAGGGCCAGAAUGAGAAUAAAGGGAAGACCCCCGGCUACUGAAGGGAAGCCAAGGGGUGACUCUCUUCUGAAGCUAGGCAGGGUCAGGAAGGCUGCAGGUGUCCGGGCAAAGGACUUCCUUCAUGGUGCUAGAAGGGAAGGAUGCUGCCCCUUCAGAACAGAACAAUACUGAGGCACCUCGGUGGGAGCUGCUUCUCCUUCUGCUAUAUCUCUCUCUCUGUCUCUCAUGAAUAAAUAAAUAAAAUCUUAAA